CCUUACUGCUAUCGGGGUGGGACUAAGACAUGCGAGUCGAGCGUCUAUAGCUAUGUUGAGACGCGGCAGACGGCUCAGUAACACGUGGCUAACCUACCCUCAGGACGAGGAUAAACCCGGGAAACUGGGGCUAAUACUCGAUAGGUGAGGAUGUCUGGAAUGACUUCUCACCCAAAGGGCCUUGGAAACAUGCUUUCAAUGUCGCCUGGGGAUGGGGCCGCGUCCGAUCAGGUUGUUGGUGAGGUAACGGCUCACCAAGCCUAUAACCGGUACGGGCCGUGAGAGCGGUAGCCCGGAGAUGGGUACUGAGACAAGGACCCAGGCCCUACGGGGCGCAGCAGUCGCGAAAACUCCGCAAUGCACGAAAGUGUGACGGGGCUACCCCGAGUGCCAUCCGCUGAGGAUGGCUUUUCUUUGGUAUAACUAGCCAGGGGAAUAAGGAGAGGGCAAGACUGGUGUCAGCCGCCGCGGUAAUACCAGCUCUCCGAGUGGUAGGGAUGAUUAUUGGGCUUAAAGCGUCCGUAGCCGGCUUAGCAAGUCUCCUGUUAAAUUCAGCGACCUAAUCGUUGACCCGCGGGAGAUACUACUAAGCUAGGAGGCGGGAGAGGUCGACGGUACUUCUGGGGUAGGGGUGAAAUCCUAUAAUCCCGGGAGGACCACCAGUGGCGAAGGCUGUCGACUAGAACGCGCCCGACGGUGAGGGAUGAAAGCUGGGGGAGCGAACCGGAUUAGAUACCCGGGUAGUCCCAGCUGUAAACGAUGCAGGCUAGGUGUUUGGGCGGCCACGAGCCGCCCUAGUGCCGCAGGGAAGCUGUUAAGCCUGCUGCCUGGGGAGUACGGCCGCAAGGCUGAAACUUAAAGGAAUUGGCGGGGGAGCACCACAAGGGGUGAAGCUUGCGGUUU
rnacentral:rRNA from 1 species